UCACCCUAUAAAAACAGAACGUAUUUGCUCACGGGAAACAUGUCAGAACAGCAGCUGUAGAGAGCAAGUGUUGACUGGUCCCCGUCCAAUCUGCUAACUUCCAGAUAAAGCCUGGGAUCUGAUAGGUGACACACUGUCGUAACAUUUGCAGCGGGGGGCUUUUCUCGUUCAUCAUUUCAGCACCAAACAUGAGAGUCUAUCAAUAAACUUUCAAGACAAGCGCUGUUCCCACGACACAUGGUAGAUCCAGAGUCGGGGAAGCUCCAUUUUUGACAGCAAUGCUAAAGCCAUUGAGAUGCCUGACCUGUACCAUUGAGGUGAGCGGGCCCCAGUGCUGGGGGAUAGAGCAACCUUUUACAGGCCGGGUGUACAUGCCUUUAAUCCCAGCACUCGGGACACAGAGGCAGGUGGAUCUCUGUGAGUUUGAGGCAGCCUAGUCUACAUUGUGAGUUCCAGGACUGCCAGGGCUACAUAGUGAGACCCUGCUUUAAAGCUGAAGUUACAAUUGGUUAUUAACCUCCAUGUAGGGCUUGGGAGCCGAACCUGGAGUCUCUGCAAAAGAGACCAGCUGAGACUGCAGUGGGCCUAGAUCCUUCUGGCCAGGGCUCCUACAGGCGGUUGAGUUGAGUGUGGCUUUACUCUGGGCUCAAGGAUCCAGCAGCUGAGGAGGCAUGGACACACCCAGGACAGUUGAGAGCAUUAUUCAGACAUCAAGUAUUUCCAAAAAGGUCAGAAGAGAGAAUUGGAUCUCCUGGAACUAGAAUUACAGACGAUUGUGAACAUCCAUGUAGGUGCUGGGAAUUGGACCUGGGUCUUCUGCAAGUGCAACAAGUCACUGAGCAUCUCUCCAGCCCCACCAGAGAGCUCGUUAAGCAUCACAUGGUAACACCCACUCCUUCUCCCACAUGGACCAUUCUGGAGGCUCCAGUUUCAGCUUCUCCUGGGAACUUGAAGUCUAUAAAAGAUCUCGCUGUGCUUUCCCCCUGGGCCCAAUACCUCCAAAGCAGAAUUUAUCAGUGUUAGGCCCAGCAAGAGCCUAAAUAUAAGAAGGUAUGAAGAGAACUCAGGAAACUAAUCAUCCAUUGAUGCAAAAAUGCAAGAGACUCUUUUUAACCAUUGUACAAUGGGGUCACCCCUGCUGGUCAGCUAGGAGUGGCACCGGGAGACAAAGAGCUUAGGUUUUUAAAAGACACAAGGCGGGAAUCUCCUGGCGUUGACUUCUUGGCAAGUUAGGAUUGGAUGAAGUGUCUAACUUUUAAAAUAAUUGGUUGGUUCUGGGCAUCCUUAGGUCUGGUCAGCCCUGUCGUAAAUAUCUGAUCUUCAAGUCAGUUUGGCAUUUCCUGCCAUCCACAGUUAAAUGUGGGGGGUGAUUAACUCAUCCCAUGUCUGUUCUGAGGAGUGGGGGUUACAGGCUUUGGAUCAAAGGUCAGGAGAAGGAUUGGGGCCAUUUGGCCCAGUUUCCAAACAAAGCCCAUCUCACAGGUGCCAGGCGGUGAUUUUUUUCUCCAUUUAGUAGAGAUCUCUGCUUGUUCUCUUCCUUAUCUCUGCCCUCACAGAUGGCUAAUGUCAGGAACUUUUACAUUCCUCGGUUCUCUGGAGAAGCACUAAGAGGCUUUAAUUAACAUGGGCCUAAAACUUGCAAAUAUAAGUUAUAAGGCAAUUAAAAGAAACAUAGGUUACAAAGUUAGUCUGAUUCUUUCAAUCAGCUCUCUUAGGUCUGCUUUCCUUCUUCUCCAGAUUACCUGUGGGCUUCACCAGGGACACACAAGGCAGGAAUCACAUAAGCUGCUCUUCUGCCAUCAGGUCAGUUCUAUGGCUGUCCAUUCAUAAGUAAACAUGUACCGGUCAUCCACUGGGCCAGCUGCUGCCUCAGAGGCAAGAAUCCUGAGUUGAACAGGGUGGGCUCUGGGGCUUUUUACCUCCACAUAUAUAGUUCUCCCUCUCGCCCUCUCUGCUUCUCCCAGUUCUGAUCCCGCAUGGCUGCCACACUCAUGACAGCCUGUUUUCUCAGCAACUUAUUGUACUCAUUUUCUGAUGUGAUCCUCACCCCUCCUUAGUUUUCAUCCUGAAAUGUGGCCCUUUGCUGCCUUGAUGCCUCUCCAUUAUCUUCAGACCAGUUCUCAGACAUCUGGGCUGGAUAGAGCAGCUUGCAAGAAAAUUAGCAAUGCAAAGUAAAAGCAAAAGAAAGGACAAAAUAUGAGAAUGUUGGUGCAUUCUCUGUACAGAGCCAACAACUUGCUCUUAUGCAAAGUACAGGGUUCAAAACCAACAAUGGAGGCUCCAGAGGCAACUUAGCAGCUGAAUUCCAGUGUUUAUGUCCCAGCACCCACACAGAGAGGCUGACAGUCUCCAGCAUUCUAGCUCCAUGGGAUACAAUGCCCUCUUCACGCCUCUGCAGGUACUUGCACUCAUGUGCAUGCUACACAGAGAGCCACACGUACUCUUAAUUAAAGUAAACUCUUAAAAUAUACCCAACAAUGGCCACUCAAGACUACUUCAUUUUUGUAAAAGAGCAUUUGUUUCAAAUACAGAAUAAAAAUUAAGAUUAUAAUUUCAUAGGAAAUGAGAGACCAAAAGAUAAAGUAGCAGCUAUCAUUAAGACCUAAAGUAGGUACGGUAAAGAAGUUUAGUAAUGCCCUGAGGGGAAGAGUCACCUCACUGCAUCUUUCCCCACCCACUAGAGAUACAGUUGCUAGGAAACUGGACCAUCCCCCUAGGGAGGGACACCAGGUCAUUAUAGGUCUGGGAACCUUCCUAUAGCCAAUCGAUUCAAAAUGUAACAUCUUGACCAAUAGAUGCUUGCCAGGCAGGAAUUGCCCCUGCCUUGGGCAUGCUGGGAUGGACCAGAAUCUAUAUAUCAACUAACCUGGGUGCAGCGCGCUCAGCAAGCGGUGGGGGCUGUGUAGCCCAAGCUGCAGCUUGUAAUUUACAAUAAAAAGACCCUCAUGUGCUUUGCAACAAGUCGAUUCCUGUAGAUCUUUUGGGGGCUCUCGAACUGGGUAUAAGAGAAACAAAUCUCCUAAAUUAGACAUGUACCCAAAAUUUCUGGUUUCUUCUGGCCUUGUGAAAAACACCGUGAAAGAGUGUUUGGGAACCCAAACACUCCGGGUGGAUAAAUACGUAGCCACAAAUGAACCCCUCUUCCACUAUCCAUUCCCUCAGCUCUCCACCCAGCCUUCCCCAGCCCUGCUUGGGGUUCUCACAUGGAGAACCCUGGCUCCCACAGACCUCAGUGUUGAUCUUCCUCAUCUGCCCACUGUGUUCUCUCACGUUCCCAAACAGCCACAUCAAUAUCACCCUUCUCUGCCUGACUGUCCUCCCUCAUCCUCCAGGCCUUUCCCAGGGCGUAUGUCGUCUAGGAAGUCCUUUCUUCCAGUGUUGAAGCCUGCCUGCAACUCUCCAGACACCCUGAUCGUCUCUGUCACUUACUGUGUUCUUCUCCACAGCCAUCCAUGACUGUGGGUGCCAGGCACCUACUUGAUGUUUCACAAAUUCCAACCUUUCUUAUUAACCAAUCAAUUUUAAACCAGGUGGAGCAAGGUUUAUGCAAGGACAGGUAUAUCUGAGAAUGUGCUCCUCUGAGCAGGGACAAGAUCUUGGGGGCCAGUAAUUAACAUUAGAAUAUGUAUCACCAGGCCAACCCCCAACAUUAUUUAAUUAGGAUUUUUUUUUUUUUUUGAGACAGGGUUUCAAAAUUGCCUUCUCCAGUGAAUCUCUGAGUUGUUUUUCUUUUUUAAUUUUAUUGUUUAUUACAAUUUAUUCACUGUAUCCCAGCUGUAGGCCCCUCCCUUGUUUCCUCCCAGUCUCACCUUCCCUCUUUUCUCCAUAGGUCCCUCCCCUAUGUCCACUGAUAGGGAAGGUCCUCUUCCCCUUCUAUCUGACCCUAGCUUAUCAGGUCUAAUCAGGACUGGCUGCUUUGUCUUUCUCUGUGGCCUAGCAAGGCUGUACCCCCUCCAGGGGGAGGUGAUCAGAGAGCCAGCCAAUGAAUUCAUGCCAGAGACAGCCCCUGCUCCUUUUACUAGAGAAUCCACUUGGUGACUGAGUCUAUGGGCUACAUCUGAGCAGGUCCUCUCCAUGCAUGGUCCUUGGUUGUGGUGUCAGUCUCUUCAGGCCCCCUUGAGCCCACGUUUUUUGGCUCUGUUGGUCUCCUUGUGGAGCUCCUAUAAUCUCCAGAUCUUUCUAUCUCCUUCUUCCAUAAGAAGAACUCUGCCCAAAGUUUGGCUAUGAGUCUCAGCAUCUGCUUUAAUACCCUGCCGGGUAGAGUCUUUUAGAGGCCCUCUUUGGUAGGCUCCUGUUUGGUUCCCUGUCUUCUCCAAUUUCUGAUGUCUAUCCUGUUUGCCUUUUUGAAUGAGGAUUGAGCAUCUUACCCAGGGCCCUUCUUGUUUAGCUUCUUUAAGAGUAUAAAUUUUAGUAUGUUUAUCUUAUAUAUAUGUCUAAUAUCCACUUAUAAGUGAGUAUAUACCAUGUGUGUCUUUCUGCUUCUGGGUUACUUCACUCAGGAUGAUCUUUUCUAGACCCAUCCAUUUGCCUGCAGAUUUCAUGAUUUCCUUGUUUUUUAUCGCUGAGUAAUAUUCCUUUGUGUACCAUAAUUUCUGUAUCCAUUCCUCAACUGAGGGACAUCUGGGCUGUUUUCAGCUUCUGGCUAUUACAAA